rnacentral:rRNA from 1 species
UACGUAGGGGGCUAGCGUUGUCCGGAUUUAUUGGGCGUAAAGAGCGUGUAGGCGGCCAGGUAGGUCUGCUGUGAAAACUCGAGGCUCAACCUCGAGACGUCGGCGGAAACCAUCUGGCUAGAGUCCGGAAGAGGAGAGUGGAAUUCCUGGUGUAGCGGUGAAAUGCGUAGAUAUCGGGAGGAACACCAGUGGCGAAGGCGACUUCCUGGCCUGUUCUUGACGCUGAGGCGCGAAAGCUAGGGGAGCAAACGGG